GUGGGUAUAGGUCAGUGGUAGCACACAUGCUCAGCAUGCAUGAGGUCCUGGGUUCAAUCCCCAGUACCACCA
rnacentral:tRNA from 1 species